rnacentral:tRNA from 1 species
GGAUGUAGUUCAGUGGUAGAACAACCGGCAUUAAAAAGUGCCUUUUCGUUUGAUCCCCUGGACCUCCCAAACACACUCGACACCGAUCACGAGGCGGUGGGUGGCGUAGAUGUCACUUACUUCGCAUCUGGAGCGGGAGGUCGCUGGUUCGAAUCCAGCCGCGUCCA